AGCAACUUGGGAGAAUGCUUUUUAGUUUAAUAAAUAGUAGCCUAUAUGCCUACUAUUUAUUAUAAUUAAAUAUUCAAAUUUUGAAUAUAGUUCUAGGUAAAAUAUUGAUAAUGACAAAGUUUUAUCUACAUGUCUUGACCAAAUCUUGUGCCAGCAGUCGCGGCAACACAAGGAAGACUAGUGUUAUUCAUCUUAAAUCGGUUUAACGGGUACCUAGACGGUAAAUUAGGCCUUAAUUGGAACGUUUUUACUAGAGUUAUAUAUGCAUGAGGAAUAUGAAGUAUUACCAGAGUAGAGAUAGAAUUUUUUGAUACUGUUAAGACUGGUAAAGGCAAAAGCAAACCUUUAUAUAUUAACUGACGUUGAGGGACGAAGGCUUGGGUAGCAAACAGGAUUAGAUACCCUAAUAGUCCAGGCAGAGAAUUAUGAAUGUCAUAGAUUAU
rnacentral:rRNA from 1 species